UUAUGGCUCAGGAUGAACGCUAGCUACAGGCUUAACACAUGCAAGUCGAGGGACAGCAUAUCGGAAGCUUGCUUUGAUGAUGGCGACCGGCGCACGGGUGAGUAACGCGUAUCCAACCUUCCCUAUACUAGAGGAUAGCCCGGCGAAAGUCGGAUUAAUACUCUAUGUUCUCGUAGAAGACAUCUGAAAUGAAGCAAAGGUUUACCGGUAUAGGAUGGGGAUGCGUCUGAUUAGGUUGUUGGCGGGGUAACGGCCCACCAAGCCCACGAUCAGUAGGGGUUCUGAGAGGAAGGUCCCCCACAUUGGAACUGAGACACGGUCCAAACUCCUACGGGAGGCAGCAGUGAGGAAUAUUGGUCAAUGGACGAGAGUCUGAACCAGCCAAGUAGCGUGCAGGAUGACGGCCCUAUGGGUUGUAAACUGCUUUUAUAUAGGGAUAAAGUGCAUCACGUGUGGUGUUUUGUAGGUACUAUAUGAAUAAGGACCGGCUAAUUCCGUGCCAGCAGCAGC
rnacentral:rRNA from 1 species